rnacentral:rRNA from 1 species
AGCCUGAUGCAGCGACGCCGCGUGAGGGAUGACGGCCUUCGGGUUGUAAACCUCUUUCAGUAGGGAAGAAGCGAAAGUGACGGUACCUGCAGAAGAAGCGCCGGCUAACUACGUGCCAGCAGCCGCGGUAAUACGUAGGGCGCAAGCGUUAUCCGGAAUUAUUGGGCGUAAAGAGCUCGUAGGCGGUUUGUCGCGUCUGCCGUGAAAGUCCGGGGCUCAACUCCGGAUCUGCGGUGGGUACGGGCAGACUAGAGUGAUGUAGGGGAGACUGGAAUUCCUGGUGUAGCGGUGAAAUGCGCAGAUAUCAGGAGGAACACCGAUGGCGAAGGCAGGUCUCUGGGCAUUAACUGACGCUGAGGAGCGAAAGCAUGGGGAGCGAACAGGAUUAGAUACCCUGGUAGUCCAUGCCGUAAACGUUGGGCACUAGGUGUGGGGGACAUUCCACGUUUUCCGCGCCGUAGCUAACGCAUUAAGUGCCCCGCCUGGGGAGUACGGCCGCAAGGCUAAAACUCAAAGGAAUUGACGGGGGCCCGCACAAGCGGCGGAGCAUGCGGAUUAAUUCGAUGCAACGCGAAGAACCUUACCAAGGCUUGACAUGGACCGGACCGCCGCAGAAAUGUGGUUUCCCCUUUGGGGC